GUUCAUUUUCAAAAAUGUGCUGAAUAAAAGAGAAAAAAAAAAAUCUGUUCUUAUCAGUUUAAUAUCUGAUAUGUCCUCCAUAGGGGGACAACAUAUUAAAUGGAUUUUUAGCAGCGGGAGCUGAAAAAGGGGCUUGCUCCGUUCACUCCAUGCAUCGACCCGGUAUUGCAGUGCCGCCGGGAACGGUGCACCUUCC